AAUCGUUCACCUCCCUGCUGUUGUGGGCUGCUCUUCUUUUUUUGUGGUUACGUUGUUACUUUUCUUUCUCUUCUUGUUCGCCUUCGAUUUCUGAGAGGAGGAGGGUCUCAGUUUCCGUUUCUUCUUUUUCGAUGAGAAAAGACU
rnacentral:ribozyme from 14 species